rnacentral:rRNA from 1 species
AUUGAACGCUGGCGGCAGGCCUAACACAUGCAAGUCGAGCGGAUGAGGAAAGCUUGCUUUUCGAUUCAGCGGCGGACGGGUGAGUAAUGCCUAGUAAUCUGCCUGCUAGUGGGGGAUGACUCGGGGAAACUCGGGCUACUACCGCAUACGUCCUACGGGAGAACGUGGGGGCUCUUCGGACCUCACGCUAACAGAUGAUCCUAGGUCGGAUUAGCUAGUAGGUGAGGUAAUGGCUCACCUAGGCGACGAUCCGUAACGGGUCUGAGAGGAUGAUCAGUCACACUGGAACUGAGACACGGUCCAGACUACUACGGGAGGCAGCAGUGGGGAAUAUUGGACAAUGGGCGAAAGCCUGAUCCAGCCAUGCCGCGUGUGUGAAGAAGGUCUUCGGAUUGUAAAGCACUUUAAGUUGGGAGGAAGGGUAUUCACCUAAUACGUGGGUACUUUGACGUUACCAACAGAAUAAGCACCGGCUAACUCUGUGCCAGCAGCCGCCGUAACAC